ACACUGGCUCUUAGCACAGAGCCACAAACAUUAUUUAGAAAGAGCACU
rfam:Neotoma lepida isolate 417 scaffold_146, whole genome shotgun sequence.